ACUCAAAGGAAUUGACGGGGGCCCGCACAAGCGGUGGAGCAUGUGGUUUAAUUCGACGCAACGCGCAGAACCUUACCAGCCCUUGACAUGGCCGAUCCAGCCCCGGAGACGGGGUGUCCCGCAAGGGGUCGGUCACAGGUGCUGCAUGGCUGUCGUCAGCUCGUGUCGUGAGAUGUUGGGUUAAGUCCCGCAACGAGCGCAACCCUUGCCUUCAGUUGCCAUCGGGUAGGGCCGGGCACUCUGAAGGAACUGCCGGUGACAAGCCGGAGGAAGGUGGGGAUGACGUCAAGUCCUCAUGGCCCUUACGGGCUGGGCUACACACGUGCUACAAUGGCGGUGACAAUGGGCAGCGAGGUCGCGAGGCCAAGCUAAUCCCUAAAAGCCGUCUCAGUUCGGAUCGCACUCUGCAACUCGGGUGCGUGAAGCUGGAAUCGCUAGUAAUCGCGGAUCAGCACGCCGCGGUGAAUACGUUCCCGGGCCUUGCACACACCGCCCGU
rnacentral:rRNA from 1 species